GCCAGGUGUGGUGGCCUGCACCUGUAGUCCCAGCUACUUGGGAGGCUGAGACGGGAGGAUGGCUUGAGCCCAAGGAGGUGGAGGUUGCAGUGAGCCAAGGUCAUGCCACUGCACUUCCAGCCUGGGCAACAAAGCCAGACUCUGUCUCAA
rnacentral:SRP_RNA from 2 species